CCUACGGGAGGCAGCAGUGAGGAAUAUUGGUCAAUGGACGAGAGUCUGAACCAGCCAAGUAGCGUGAAGGAUGACUGCCCUAUGGGUUGUAAACUUCUUUUAUAUGGGAAUAAAAUGUCCCACGUGUGGGAUUUUGUAUGUACCAUAUGAAUAAGGAUCGGCUAACUCCGUGCCAGCAGCCGCGGUAAUACGGAGGUGCCGAGCGUUAUCCGGAUUUAUUGGGAUUAAAGGGAGCGUAGGUGGAUUGGUAAGUCAGUGGUGAAAGUUUGCGGCUCAACCGUAAAAUUGCAGUUGAAACUGGCUGUCUGGAGUGCAGUAGAGGUGGGCGGAAUUCGUGGUGUAGCGGUGAAAUGCUUAGAUAUCACGAAGAACUCCGAUUGCGAAGGCAGCCCACUGGACUGCAACUGACACUGAGGCUCGAAAGUGUGGGUAGCAAACAGGAUUAGAUACCCUAGUAGUC
rnacentral:rRNA from 1 species